GGGGUAAGAAACAUAGCAAGAAGUAAAAAAUAGAAAGAGGGAGCUGGAUAGAGGUAGAUACAGAAAGAAAAUUUUGAAAGCAACAGGAUACAAGAAUCAAAAAAUAGGUACACGGAGCUGCAUAGAGGGAGACGUAAGAAUGAAAUUUGAAAAGCAACAGCGCACAGAGGUGAG